CGGGUGAUGGCCGCCGGCAGCCACUUCGUGGCAGGUGAACCUGUCCUGCCCGCGUGUCAGCUCUGGGGAACAGCCCUGGGGAUCAUCCCUUCAUUGCUGGAGGACAACCCCUUGGUUGCCACCUGAUACGCGCUGCCCUGCUCGCGUCAGAGCAGUGACGAUGACGCACCCG
rfam:Streptomyces albireticuli strain MDJK11, complete genome.